GAUCGAACCGACUGGAGCUUGCUCCCAAGAGUUAUCGGCGGACGGGUGAGUAUCACGUGGGCAAUCUGCCUAUAAAAUGGGAUACUUCGGGAAACCGGAUCUAAUGACGGAUAAUUCUUUUCCUCUCAUGAGGAAAAGCUAAAAGACGGUUUACGCUGUCACUUAUAGAUGGGCCCGCGGCGCAUUAGCUAGUUGGUGAGGUAACGGCUCACCAAUGCAACGAUGCGUAUCCGAUCUGAGAUGGUGAUCGGCCACACUGGGACUGAGACACGGUCCAGACUCCUACGGGAGGCAGCAGUAUGGAAUCUUCCGCAAUGGACGAAAGUCUGACGGAGCAUCGCCGUGUGAGUGAUGAAGGUUUUCGGAUCGUAAAACUCUGUUGUUAUGGAAGAACAAGUACCAGUUAACUGCUGGUACCUUGACGGUACCUAACCAGAAAGCCACGGCUAACUACGUGCCAUCAGCCGCGGUAAU
rnacentral:rRNA from 1 species